rnacentral:rRNA from 1 species
UCAGAACGAACGCUGGCGGCGCGUUUAAGCAUGCAAGUCGAGCGGCAAGGGCCUUCGGGCCCCUAGAGCGGCGGACGGGUGAGUAACACGUGGACAAUCUGCCCCCCGGCCCGGGAUAGCCCAGGGAAACCUGGAUUAAUACCGGAUGAGACGGGACCCGCGAUGGCGGGACCCGGGAAAGGCGCUGCGGCGCCGCCGGGGGAUGAGUCUGCGUCCCAUUAGCUAGACGGCGGGGUAACGGCCCACCGUGGCGACGAUGGGUAGCCGGCCUGAGAGGGUGGACGGCCACAUUGGAACUGAGACACGGUCCAGACUCCUACGGGAGGCAGCAGCUAAGGAAUCUUCCGCAAUGGGCGAAAGCCUGACGGAAGCGACGCCGCGUGAACGAAGAAGGCCGUGAGGUUGUAAAGUUCUUUUCGGGAGGGGGAACAACCGUGGCAGGGAAUGGCCGCGGGAUGACGUGAAUCCCGGAAUAAGCCCCGGCUAACUACGUGCCAGCCGCGGC